GGGGGUGUAGCUCUAACCGGGAGAGCGCCCGCCUUGCACGCGGGAGGCUGUCGGUUCGAAUCCGAUCACCUCCACCA
rnacentral:tRNA from 1 species